AAGGCGACGAUCAGUAGCCGACCUGAGAGGGUGAUCGGCCACAUUGGAACUGAGACACGGUCCAAACUCCUACGGGAGGCAGCAGUGGGGGAUAUUGCACAAUGGGGGAAACCCUGAUGCAGCAACGCCGCGUGAGGGAAGAAGGUUUUCGGAUUGUAAACCUCUGUCCUUGGUGAAGAAGGAAGUGACGGUAACCGAGGAGGAAGCCACGGCUAACUAC
rnacentral:rRNA from 1 species